rnacentral:misc_RNA from 1 species
UCAGCAUUGAUAUCCUUUGCAGUUGCACCAUCAUGUGUUCUCACACUCUGAAGCAAAAACUUGUCCUUGCAUUGCAUCUCAGCAGGAGCCUCCUUUUGCGCUUGCAUUGUAACUAUAACAUCACAUGUGGACCGAGGCAAAACAAUCCCAGCAUUUGGUCGAACACAAUACUUCUUUGGAUUUGUCGUUUUGACCUUGAAAGCAACAUAAUUAUCAGUUUUAUUGGACAAUUGAAGAGAACAAGAGAUCUGCUUCUUCAAUUCAAAUGGAAAUUUGAGCUCUAGAGGUUCGAUGCUGAGAAGCUCUCCC